AACGCGUCCAAGCUGCCGUUAACCGCCCGGCCGCCCAGGUUUAAACCCGAAGAGCAAACGGCCCCCUAAGCCCCGCCCACCGCCUUCUUAUUGGCCCAGAGAGUGAACGUCUUCCAAAUCGACAUCCCGAUUGAACAUUGAAUGCAGUUCCCUGGGCUAUAUGGAGACAGAGUCCUGGGUGCAAGCAAAUGGUUUCAGCUUUGCCGUCAAUGUGAAGUCCACAAUGGAUACAGUUGCAACCACGUGAUUGGACAUUGCUGGAAAUUUAAAUUACCUAACCUGAAGAGAGCUUGUGUCACAGACAACUUUUACUAUUAUGAUCGUAUUGCAGAUAGAUAUAACUACAGAUACACAGUGCUGUCUUGUAGGACUUGUGAAGAGGGAUCAUUCAUGAUAUUUCAUGACUUAUAUAGAGAAACGUUUUGCUGCACUGAAGACAAUUGUAACGAUCCUGAGAAAAAUAUUGACAUUUCGAAGGUACCAGUGUCGUAUUCAUAA